AUUGAACGCUAACGGCGUGCUUAACACAUGCAAGUCGAGCGGCAGCAUGACUGUAGCAAUACAGCUGAUAGCGAGCGGCGGACGGGUGAGUAAUGCAUAGGAAUCUGCCUUGUAGUGGGGGAUAACCCGGGGAAACUCGGGCUAAUACCGCAUAAUCUCUACGGAGCAAAGUGGGGGACCUUCGGGCCCUGCGCUAAAAGAUGAGCCUAUGUUGGAUUAGCUAGUUGGUAGGGUAAAGGCCUACCAAGGCAACGAUCCAUAGCUGGUCUGAGAGGAUAAUCAGCCACACUGGGACUGAGACACGGCCCAGACUCCUACGGGAGGCAGCAGUGGGGAAUAUUGGACAAUGGGCGAAAGCCUGAUCCAGCAACGCCGUGUGUGUGAAGAAGGCCUUCGGGUUGUAAAGCACUUUUAGUGGGGAAGAAAAGUUCAUGGCUAAUAUCCAUGAAUGCUGACGUUACCCACAGAAAAAGCACUGGCUAACUCUGUGCCAGCAGCCGCCGUAA
rnacentral:rRNA from 1 species